rnacentral:snRNA from 15 species
AGCUUUGCAUAGUGGUAGUACUGUAGCCAUUGAAGUUUUUCAGAGGUGUGAUUAUUGCUAAUUGAAAACAGGGAAACGAAGCUCCUGUCCUGUUUAAUCUGUAUAAAUGUAAUUUGUACUUGAGCCCCUUUACUGGG